AUGCUUAAGAAGGUCAACAAGAUUGAAGUAAAGAGCCAGAAGAGAAGAAAGAAAAAGCAUAAGCCAUGGAUUAUACGCAUCUUCAGCCACGAGUGCUAUAUCACCUACCUUACUGGCUGCUACAGCUGCCGGUGGAAAACCAAGCUGGAGAAAAAAUCUAGACGUGGAUUCUGCUGCCGCUCUUUGGUACAGAGAGAUGGGAAGGAGCUGGACCACACUUCCUGAGAUGUGGGAAACAUGGGCUGUCCCCUGCCGCCAUGAGGGCUCAUUAGUCUCCAGAACUGGGCAUGCUUGGGCUCUAAGACAGAGCUGUUAUAUUUCCUAUUUCUGGUUAUUGCAUUUUUCGUGUCCGUGAUUUUGCUGUUCGUGUGGAUAGCAGCCUCAAAUGAAUACAAUCGCUUUGACUGGGCUCUUUAUGUAGUUACAGGAUCCUGGUACUUCUGGUCCCGUGUUUUCCUGAGUUUAUUUGGAAUCCUGGUUGCCUACACUUCUUUGCUGUUGAUACUUGCACUUUUGGUAUUUCGGGAAGGGUAUGAAUUAUACCUGCACUGGAGUCAUAAGGUAGGACAUCUGAAUCUUCGCAGGAAUCUUAGACCAGGACUGAAUGUGCCCCUGGGCACUCAGUGUUAAGUACAGAGCCUUGCUUUCUUCAUUGCUCCCCUUAGAAAGAAGAGAUCUGCUUACUCUUUUUAAACUGGAAUCAUUAAAUUUCUAACAGAUGUAACUGAUAUCCUGAAUGAUCUGAACCCAAACUUAUUUUUUCUCACCACUCCUUACUAAACUCACUCUGUGACUCUGCUCUUCCCAUCCCAGUAAAAUCUUAGACAAGCUCCAUUACUUUCCUAGUCCUAUAUAGUGACAAGAACAUUCUCAUGCCAGUCAUUAAAAAUUCAGUUCAUUGUAAUAAUUCAGACUCCAACUUCAUAAGACUUUCCCCCUCCCCUAUUGCUGAAAGCCUGCACUGGUGGAAAGAGCAUGAUGAUCCUAUUACCUCUAUGUCACCAAAGGGGGUUGCAGGUGAACAGGAGACAGGAUAAAAGAACACAGUCCCAUAAGGAAGGGCAAGAGGGUCAUCUGGGGUUGGUCCAUCAGGACCAGGUAAAUGCAUAGUUGUUGGCUCUUUACCCCCUGGCCUAUUUCCAUGUGUAUUUUCAGAGACCCUUGUGCUGAGAACCUUGACUACAGCUCUCUUGGUGGAGACAUUGCCUGUC